AAAAACAUGUCUUAUUGAAUUUAAAUAGUAAGUCGAUUCUGCCCAUUGAAUAAAAAUUUAAAAGGCUGCGGUAUAUUAACUGUACAAAGGUAGCAAAAUAAAUAGUUUUUUAAUUGAGAACUUGAAUGAAAGAUUUGAUAAAAUAUAAAUUGUCUCAAAUUAAUGUUUAUAUAAUUUAAAUUAAAAGUAAAAAUGCUUUUAUUAUUUUAUUAGACGAUAAGACCCUAAGAAUUUUAUAAUUUAUUUUUUAUUUAAAUUGUGUAAAAUUAAUAAUAAAUAUUAAAUUAUUUUAUUGGGAGGAUAAUUAAAUAUGAACUUUAAUUAAUUGUAAAUAUUAAUAAAUAAAAUUUUAAUGAUUAAUUUUUUGAUUAUAAGAUUAAAUUACCUUAGGGAUAACAGCGUAAUAAUUUUGGAGAGUUCAUAUUGAUAAAAUUGUUUGCGACCUCGAUGUUGAAUUAAAAUGAAAAUUAAAUGUAGAUAUUUAAAUUUUUAGUCUGUUCGACUAUUAAAAUUUUACAUGAUCUGAGUUCAAAACCGGAGA
rnacentral:rRNA from 1 species